AUUGAACGCUGGCGGCAGGCUUAACACAUGCAAGUCGAGCGAGCGGCGGACGGGUGAGAAAUGCCUGGGAAACUGCCUGAUGGACGGGGAUAACUACUGGAAACGGUAGCUAAUACCGCAUAACAUCAGAUGUGCCAAGAUGGGAUUAGCUAGUAGGGUGGGGAAUGGCUCACCUAGGCGACGAUCCCUAGCUGGUCUGAGAGGAUGACCAGCCACACUGGAACUGAGACCCGGUCCAGCCGCCUACUGGAGGCCGCAUUGGGGAAUAUUGCACAAUGGUGGCAGGCCGGAUGCAGCCAUGCCGCGUGUGUGAAGAAGGCCUUCGGGUUGUAAAGCACUUUCAGCGAGGAGGCGUUACUCGCAGAAGAAGCACCGGCUAACUCCGUGCCAGCAGCCGCGGUAAUUC
rnacentral:rRNA from 1 species